rnacentral:sRNA from 1 species
GGCCUAACCCCGCGAAAGCAGGCAUGGCAAGUAGUCGAGUAAAGCAUAGAAAACCCGUCAUGGGAUUGCUUUACUCGCCAUAUCGGGAAACCGGUAUGCCACCGCAAGGUGG